rnacentral:lncRNA from 1 species
GUGUGUAUGUGUGUCGUCUGAUGCAAGAGGAGAAGAAGGAGAAAACCCUUCUUUCACCAAAUCAAGCAAUUUCAUAGGAAAUCUUGGCCAAACUACAUGCAUGAAUGCACAAAACUGAUCAUCUGAACAUAUCCAACUAGAGGUUAUGUGAUGAUUGGAAUAAUUGGGUCAUGGUACAAUUAGGAAGAGGCGUAAAAGAAGAAGGCUCAAAUAACACAAGGUCUCAAGAUCUGCAAGAUCGAGGUAAGUUAUUUUGCUUACAUAUGACUUGUAAAAGAUAGUUAUGUUCAAAUAUGGUGGUUGUUGUACAAUUGUUAGCUUAAUACUUGACUAAAGAAUGUCGUAAGUAAGAUUGAUUGUAAAGUCGACCCAGUACAAACGGGUCUACACAUGAGAAUGUAGUAUUAGAAUGUCCUCAAAGUCGACUCGGUAUGAUCGGGUCGACACAUUAGAAUGUUUCGCUGAAAUAAUCAUGAAGCCAACCUGGUACGUUAUUUAUUAGGAAUGUACCUUUUAUGUAUUCAUGUUAUAUUGGUCAUAUGGUAAUUGUAUUGUGUAUAAUAGAAAGUUACGAAUGAAUGUUAUGUAGUCGAACCGUAGUAAAUGGGUCGAAUAAAUAGAAUGUUACGAAGGAAUGUUACGUAGUCGAACCGUAGUAAAUGGGUCGAAUAAAUAGAAUGUUACGAAGGAAUGUUAUGUAGUCGAACCGUAGUAAACAGGUCGAAUAAAAAGAAUGUCACGAAGGAAUGUUACGCAGUCGAACCGUAGUAAACGGGUCGAAUAAAUAGAAUGUUACGAAUGAAUGUUAUGUAGUCGAACCGUAGUAAACGGGUUGAAUAAAUAGAAUGUUACGAAGGAAUGUUACGUAGUCGAACCGUAGUAAACGGGUCGAAUAAAUAGAAUGUUACGAAGGAAUGUUACGCAGUCGAACCGUAGUAAACGGGUGAAAUAAAUAGAAUGUUACGAAUGAAUGUUAAGCAGUCGAACCGUAGUAUACGGGUCGAAUAAAUAGAAUGUUAUGAAUGAAUAUUAUGUAGUUAAACCGUAGUAAACGGGUCGAAUAAAUAGAAUGUUACGUAGUCGAUCCGUAGUAAAAGGGUCGGAUAAAUAGAAUGUUACGAAUGGGAUGAUAUGUAGUCGAACCGUAGUAAACGGGUCGAAUAAAUAGAAUGUUACGAAGGAAUGUAACGUAGUCAAACCGUAGUAAACGGGUCGAAUAAAUAGAAUGUUAUGAAGGAAUGUUACGUAGUCGAACCGUAGUAAACGGGUCGAAUAAAUAGAAUGUUACGAAUGAAUGUUAUGCAGUCGAACCGUAGUAAACGGGUCGAAUAAAUAGAAUGUUACGAAUGAAUGUUGCGUAUUCGAACCGUAGUAAACGGGUCGAAUAAAUAGAAUGUUACGUAGUCGAUCCGUAGUAAAAGGGUCGGAUAAAUAGAAUGUUACGAAUGGGAUGAUAUGUAGUCGAACCGUAGUAAACGGGUCGAAUAAAUAGAAUGUUACGAAGGAAUGUAACGUAGUCGAACCGUAGUAAACGGGUCGAAUAAAGAGAAUGUUACGAAGGAAUGUUACGUAGUCGAACCGUAGUAAACGGGUCGAAUAAAUAGAAUGUUACGAAGGAAUGUUACGUAGUCGAACCGUAGUAAACGGGUCGAAUAAAUAGAAUGUUACGAAUGAAUGUUAUGCAGUCGAACCAUAGUAAACGGGUCGAAUAAAUAGAAUGUUACGAAUGAAUGUUGCGUAUUCGAACCGUAGUAAACGGGUCGAAUAAAUAGAAUGUUACGUAGUCGAUCCGUAGUAAAAGGGUCCGAUAAAUAAAAUGUUACGAAUGGGAUGGGAUGAUAUGUAGUCGAACUGUAGUAAACGGGUCGAAUAAAUAGAAUAUUACGAAUGAAUGUUAUGUAGUCGAACCGUUGUAAACGGGUCGAAUAAAUAGAAUGUUACGAAGGAAUGUUACGUAGUCGAACCGUAGUAAACGGGCCGAAUAAAUAGAAUGUUAUAUAGUAGAUCUGUGGUGAAUGGGUCAAAUAAAUAGGAUGUUAUAUAGUUAAACCGUAGUAAAUGGGUCAACGCUCUAGAAUGAAACGUUAGAAUGUUUGCAUAAGUUACCCGGUAUGAAUGGGUUAGCACACUCGAAAGAAGUAUGAGAAUGAUCAUAUAGUUGAACUAAUACGAAGGGGGUCAAAUACAUGGAAGUCGUAUGAUGAUAGUGUAUCAUAUCGUAUAAAGUUAAUAAGAUGUAGUUACAUGAUAUAUAGUAUUGACUCUUGUUGUUGUGAUGUAGGUAAAGCCACGCUCGGAACGAACACACUCCAAUCGCCCGCCUCACGCUUCCGGAUUAAAAUGUCAUGAUAGGGUCAAAAUACUUUUGUUGUUAUUUUGUCAUAAGUUAAACUUACUCAAAACAUGUGUUUAUAGCUUUUGUAGUCUUUAGUUGGUUUGUAACUAGUUACAAAAUGUUUAAUCUCGUUUGUAUAAUCAAGUUUACUU